UCCGCCUUGGUGUAACGGCAGCACGCCGGCCUUUGGAGCCGUGCAGUCUAGGUUCGAAUCCUAGGGGCGGAAC
rnacentral:tRNA from 1 species